rnacentral:lncRNA from 1 species
CUUCCUAUUUGGAAAUCCUCCAACCAUGUUGACUUGCUCAUUAGAGUCCUCUUGAAGUGUUGGACACAUGUCGGUUGGAUGACUUGGAUCGAUACAAAUUCCGCAAACUCUGGCUUUUGGUGCAUUUCCUAAGGCCAAUUGUUGAACAAGAGAGGUUAGUUUAGACAAUUGAGUUUCGAUAGAAUUGCUACUUACCUCAUUCACUCUUCUUGGUGUUGAGUCUUGACCGAAGCCAAAUUAUU